rnacentral:rRNA from 1 species
UGGGGAAUCUUCCGCAAUGGACGAAAGUCUGACGGAGCAACGCCGCGUGAGUGAUGACGGCCUUCGGGUUGUAAAGCUCUGUUAAUCGGGACGAAUGAUUCUUGUGCAAAUAGUGCGAGGAUUUGACGGUACCGGAAUAGAAAGCCACGGCUAACUACGUGCCAGCAGCCGCGGUAAUACGUAGGUGGCAAGCGUUGUCCGGAAUUAUUGGGCGUAAAGCGCGCGCAGGCGGAUUGGUCAGUCUGUCUUAAAAGUUCGGGGCUUAACCCCGUGAUGGGAUGGAAACUGCCAAUCUAGAGUAUCGGAGAGGAAAGUGGAAUUCCUAGUGUAGCGGUGAAAUGCGUAGAUAUUAGGAAGAACACCAGUGGCGAAGGCGACUUUCUGGACGAAAACUGACGCUGAGGCGCGAAAGCCAGGGGAGCGAACGGGAUUAGAUACCCCGGUAGUCCUGGCCGUAAACGAUGGGUACUAGGUGUAGGAGGUAUCGACCCCUUCUGUGCCGGAGUUAACGCAAUAAGUACCCCGCCUGGGGAGUACGACCGCAAGGUUA